rnacentral:rRNA from 1 species
UACGUAGGGGGCGAGCGUUGUCCGGAUUUAUUGGGCGUAAAGAGCGUGUAGGCGGCCAGGUAGGUCCGUUGUGAAAACUCGAGGCUCAACCUCGAGACGUCGAUGGAAACCAUCUGGCUAGAGUCCGGAAGAGGAGAAUGGAAUUCCCGGUGUAGCGGUGAAAUGUGUAGAGAUCGGGAGGAACACCGGUGGCGAAGGCGGGUCUCUGGGCAUCUCCUGACGCUGAGGAGCGAAAGCGUGGGGGAGCGAACAGG